rnacentral:rRNA from 1 species
GACGAACGCUGGCGGCGUGCUUAACACAUGCAAGUCGAACGGUAAGGCCCUUCGGGGUACACGAGUGGCGAACGGGUGAGUAACACGUGGGUGAUCUGCCCUGCACUUCGGGAUAAGCCUGGGAAACUGGGUCUAAUACCGGAUAGGACCACUGCCUGCACGGUUGGGGGGGGAAAGCUUUUGCGGUGUGGGAUGGGCCGGCGGCCUAUCCGGUUGUUGGUGGGGUGAUGGCCUACCAAGGCGAUGACGGGUAGCCGGCCUGAGAGGGUUACCGGCAACACUGGGACUGAGAUACGGCCCAGACUGCUACGGGAGGCAGCAGUGGGGAAUAUUGCACAAUGGGCGCAAGCCUGAUGCAGCGACGCCGCGUGAGGGAUGACGGCCUUCGGGUUGUAAACCUCUUUCAGCACCGACGAAGCGCAAGUGACGGUAGGUGCAGAAGAAGGACCGGCCAACUACGUGCCAGCAGCCGCCGUAA